AGACCUGAAAUAAGUCGAGGUUACCCGCUGAAUUUAAGCAUAUUACUAAGUGGAGGAAAAGAAAAUAACAAUGAUUCCCCUAGUAAGGGCAAGUGAAGCGGGAAGAGCUCAAAGUGAAAAUCGUGAGUCCCCUUUUGGCCUCACGAAUUGUAGCCUCUAGAGGCGUUGCCACUGGGCGGGCAGGUCUAAGUUUCUUGGAAUAGAACAUCAGAGAGGGUGACAGUCCCGUCCUUUGUCCUGCUUGUUGUUGCCUACG
rfam:Eimeria maxima Weybridge genomic scaffold, Emw_scaff2054